CUUUAGACGCCCAUGCUCAAACUCCCUAAUUGCAAGCGUAGCAACAACCUCAGGAAACCUCACCUCAGCACCCCGGGGUCGUAAGAUUCAACAGACUGCUUAGCAAGCAGCUUACAAGCCUGCUCAUACAUCAAGGCAUUGUGAAUUCCAAGGCCACAGAAGAUUGCAAAUGCCUGUUGGAAGCUCCUGGGUGAAGAUCAAAGGCCUUGGAAAAUAUGGUCGCUUGCUAUUAAACAGUUUCGCAAGACUCGUCCCUGAGGAAAACCAUACAUCUUUCAACAUCAAGUAAUUGUUGUACCUCAACCAUAAUGUUAUGGACACAUGUAUCUAGGUUACUCUGCUCUUCAAAUAUUCCACGUGCAAGUUGAAGAAGGAUCUACAAUUCAGUCGGUACACCACAUGGCAAACCCAGAUCACAAUUUGGUUAUAUAACAGUAUUGUGCAAUUAAAGUAAUGUGAGUGAAAAUCGGCAAUAUCUGUCAAUUCAGGGCUUUAAAAAAAAAAUGACUAAUUUUAGUCCACCAA